AAAAAUUUUUUUUCAAGUCAAAUGAAACUUUUGGAGGCAGUACACAUAUUUGUUAUCUUGAUCAUGGUGACAAUUUCAUAAGUCAAUGUGCCAAAUUUAUAUUAUAUCAAACUUACCAAAUGUAGGCAUGUUUUUUUUAUUUUAUGUCAGUUAUACUUGCCAAUUAAAAGAGAUCUCAAUGAAGAUAAAAAGAGGUACAAUUUGAAUCUUUCGUACAUAAUUAUUUUAGUUUUAACAAAGAAAUCAACAAUAUUUGUGUUUCAAUCAAUCACAGCAUUCAAUGGCAAAGGGUUUCACAGAAACUCAGACUAAUUCUUUUAAUUUACUUCAGUAGGAAAAAUAAAAAGCUGAAAAUACUUCUCAACUGGCCUUGUUUUGAUGUCCUGCUUUUCCGUUUGCGUUAAAUAUGUUGUGUCUCUCCAAUGAUUUCUAAAUGUAACUCCUUGUCACACUGCAGCUAAUAAACAGAACAUAUGUUCAUUCUUAUGUUCCGGAGAUAAUUAUUAAAUGAACAAUUAAUCUUUUGUUUUUGAGGUUAGGAGAGGUAACUACUCUAAGAGUUCAGGUUCUUUUUAAAAUGAAAUUAUCUGUUUUCUAGUAUGAAGAUCCUAAUGCUUGUUCAUGCCUGGUUAUCUGUAGAGUAAGGAUGAAAACUCUCAUUGGAAGCAUAAUGCUGGAAUACUUGGAUAGGCAGCGUAAUUUUAAACCACUAAAUUUGUGGUAAUCUGUUAUAGCAGCAAUAGGAAACCAAUACAGACACCGUUCAAAAGAUGAUUGUAAAGCUGUCACACUGUGGGCUUUGAAAGCAAAUUUGCUGCCUUUUCUUCCUCUGUUAUGAUAUCAUACGCUUGUUUCCACUAGCAGUAAUGCACACUGGGGUUGCCAUUGUUAAUCUUGAAAUUGUACUUUGCCAGUUAAAGACAUGAGACCUUUGGCCUCUUCUUCAUUCCUAGGGUGUCCAGUGGGUGGCCUGUGAUGUCUCCCUGCUAACGCUAGACGAUAUUUCAUCCUAUCUAACAAGCACUCUGCUCAGAUGGUCGUCUGUGCAAGUGCCACAAGGAAAGCUCCCAUGGGACCCAGAAAAGUAUUCAUUUUCCAAAGAGAAUUAAAACCCACAUUGAUAGCAUAUAAAACAAGAAUGCUUUAAAAUGUGAAGAGUGAUGAGGUUAUUUCACCCUUAAGUUAUAUUUCUAGGAAAAAGCAGAAUUUAAAUCUUAAGAGAUCUGUGUGCCCAAUUGACACUUCAAAGAAAGAGAAACCCAGCUAAUGAAAUGUAACCUAACAUCCUUCCCCAGCUUCUGUAUUCCCCAGAUUGCUACCCUUUUCCAAUUAACUUUUCCAUUCUUCUGCUAAUUAUCUGAUCUAGAAGCUUUGGAGUGAUAUUUUUCCUCCCUCUGAUUCAGCCCUUAGAAGACAUUCUCCUCUCAUCUUCGUUUUCUUUGGGGACCCUGUUUCUCAGCAUUAAUACGCAUGCGCCUAACACAGCUCUGUAUGCAGCAGCUGGCUCACAGGUUGGAGCAUGGAUUCGUUCUAUCCAGUCUGCAUCUCUUUCUGCCUGCACUUCCACACCACUCACUCCACACUCUACACAGCUCCCUGUUGCUUCCACCUGAAGUGUAAAUCCUUCUACUUAGUUUUCAAGGCCUAACUAUCCAGCUUUGCUCCCCAUGCCUCUCCACAUUCCUUCCUUCUUUCAGACGGCCAGGCAAUUUCCAUGGAUUCAUAAAAUUCAGUUUCCUCUUUUCUUGGUAACUCAGAAGAAAGGAACAGAACUGAAUCAGACGUUGACCCCUUUGACAAAUAUAUAGCUUUGUGGGGAUGGGGUAUGGGGAGACAAAUACAAAAGCUAGUUGGGGUUUUAGGUACUAUUGCAAAUGAGUUCUGUGAGCACGCCAAGAGGGGCUAAAAGAUCUUCAGGUGAGGGCACGGUAGGAAAGGCUUUGAUGAGUAGGAGAUAAUAGGAAAAUGAGUUGUCAUUUUGAGUACAGACUUUUCUUUCUUUUUUUUUUUUUUUCAUUUUGCAACGUGGCAUGUGGGAUCUUAGUUCCAAACCAGGGAUUGAACCUGUGCCCCCCUGUAAUGGAAGUGUAGAGUCUUCACCACUGAACCACUGGGGAAGUCUGAGAGCUAUUAUCUAGAACAUUAUGUGAUGUAGAUUCUAUUAAUUUUCAUGCAAAUAACGUGAUAAUGUUACCUACCCUUUCAAGUCAGACCCUAAUAAAGAUCUUCCUGCCCUGUGUCACUUGCACCAAUAGAAUGAGACAGAGUUCAGUUCAGAAGCAAAAGAAUGUUUUGUUUUUUGGUCAGAGAAUGAAGAGGUAUGGACUCACACUCAAGAGCACACACACUCUCCCCUCCAGGACAGGUUGUGGUUGGUGCUGCUUCUUAGAGUUCCCCUUCUGGGGAAGGAGGGUAGAGUUCUCGCAAAACGGACAGGCUGAAAGCAGUAUCUCCAAACCCCUGCCAUCUUGAAUCACAACAUCUUGUGAGAAGCUUCUGCACACGGUCCCCAAGCUGAGGUGUCGAGUGGUGCUGUUUGAUGCCAGGAACUAUGGUCUGAAGGGUUUUGUGCGAGGCCUCUGCGCGCAGUAUCCUGUGAGCAAGUGAAACUUGGUGUUAUACCUUAUCACCUGGAUUCCGUCUUAUUUUUCCUGGAGGCCUCAGGGGGCUUCGCCUGUGACACGAGGUCAUGGAGAUCACGGGAAUAUCACAGACAAAAAUAUAUCUUAAUUUCAGCAAAGAAUUUAACAUCCUGUGGACAGGAAUGAUGUGAAUGACAGUACAGUUGAGUAGAUUUGUAGCUAAUUGAACAACUUCAUUCAAAGAAUGUCAGCAGCUUAAUGAAUCACUGCCUACCCGAAGGGAAGUCACAGUGACAGACUCCCAAGUGCUAUCUAUAGUUUAUCCAGUUCAAAAUUUCAGUUAAUGAUGGAUGAAGACACAAAAGACAUGUUUAUCAAAACUGCAGGUGUGACAAAGCUGAGAGAGAAGCCUAAUUCAUUAAAUGUCAAAUGAAACCAAGAGAGGCAAAAGGUCUUAAUAAACUAAAAGAAUAGGCUGACAUGAAUAAGAAUAAACUUAAUAGGGAUAAAUGUAAAAUCAUCCAUUAAAAAAUUCAAAUGCAAAACAUGGGAGUAUGGAAGCUUGUGAUAAAAAAUGGUUUUGUGAGAAGACAUCCCAGGACUUUUAAUUGUCUAUAGCCUUAACACCUGCCAGUUGAUCUUAGAUCUCUGGAAAAUCUACGAAAGCAUGGACAAAAGAAGUGUUGCUUGCCAUUUCAGUAAACAAGAAAAGUUGCCCAUCAUCAAGCCAUCAACCAUUGCAGCUGCCCAACCCCGCCGCCCCCGAGAUGGUGCACCCUCAGAGGAACUCAGGAUGGAGAAAAACAGGAUACUCACCCUAGACAGUUAAGAUGCAUAUCUAAGGAAUAAUUUCAAUGGGCUCAGACUUUUUGCAUCGUUUCAUACAUAGAAAAGCACUAAAAUCAUUAACUCAAGAUGUCUUUUUUUGUGAUGAGCUGUACUCUUUUGAUGUUCAAAUAGACGUUUAUUUGUUUUCAACAGAAACUUCUGUAUAUUCUGGAUCCUCCCUUACCUCUUUGGAACAGUAUCUCGGGGCUAUCUGAGAGCCUGUUUCCCAGGCUGUAGUACUCAGUUAACUCCCUGAAUAAAAUAUAAUUUGCAACUUUGAGCUUGUGUAGUUUUUUUUUUUUUUUUUCAGUCAAUGAAUGCUAAAGACUAUCUCAUAGAUAAAUGCCCUUGGUCAUAAAAUUUUGUUUACAAUUUCAGUUGGAGUCCAUCUG
ensembl:lncRNA